GACGAGAGUCUGAACCAGCCAAGUAGCGUGCAGGAUGACGGCCCUAUGGGUUGUAAACUGCUUUUAUAAGGGAAUAAAGUGAGUCUCGUGAGACUUUUUGCAUGUACCUUAUGAAUAAGGACCGGCUAAUUCCGUGCCAGCAGCCGCGGUAAUACGGAAGGUCCGGGCGUUAUCCGGAUUUAUUGGGUUUAAAGGGAGCGUAGGCCGGAGAUUAAGCGUGUUGUGAAAUGUAGACGCUCAACGUCUGCACUGCAGCGCGAACUGGUUUCCUUGAGUACGCACAAAGUGGGCGGAAUUCGUGGUGUAGCGGUGAAAUGCUUAGAUAUCACGAAGAACUCCGAUUGCGAAGGCAGCUCACUGGAGCGCAACUGACGCUGAAGCUCGAAAGUGCGGGUAUCGAACAGGAUUAGAUACCCUGGUAGUCCGCACGGUAAACGAUGGAUGCCCGCUGUUGGUCUGAAUAGGUCAGCGGCCAAGCGAAAGCAUUAAGCAUCCCACCUGGGGAGUACGCCGGCAACGGUGCAACUCAAAGGAAUUGACGG
rnacentral:rRNA from 1 species